rnacentral:rRNA from 1 species
UCAUUCGAUUUGUUGUGGAUUGGAUGAUGGAAAAACCAGCAAGCAGCAAGCGUAGUUAGAAAAGUUGCCGUAGCACGCCCUACGGAGUUGUACAAAGUCAGGAACCGUUUUGGGGCGCAAGCAUAGGCAACACAGGACUGAUGACGGGGUGGGGCGCACAGUGAACUGGUUUUCUAAAAAGAUUGGAAGAUCCGGCCAAAGAAGGUGAUAGCCCUGUUCAUUCGUUCCCAU